rnacentral:rRNA from 1 species
GAACGGGUGAGUAACACGUGAGCAACCUGCCCGACAAACCGGGAUAACAGCGGGAAACUGCUGCUAAUACCGGAUACACCAGGUAUGGCGCAUGCUGUAUCUGGGAAAGGGUUUACCGAUGUCGGAUGGGCUCGCGUCCCAUUAGCUAGUUGGUGAGGUAACGGCUCACCAAGGCGACGAUGGGUAGCUGGUCUGAGAGGACGAUCAGCCACACUGGAACUGAGACACGGUCCAGACUCCUACGGGAGGCAGCAGUGGGGAAUCUUGCACAAUGGGCGAAAGCCUGAUGCAGCGACGCCGCGUGGAGGAUGAAGGCCUUCGGGUCGUAAACUCCUGUCUGGGGGGAUGAACACUGACAGUACCCCCGGAGGAAGCCCCGGCUAACUACGUGCCGGCAGCCGCGGUAAUACGUAGGGGGCGAGCGUUGUCCGGAAUUACUGGGCGUAAAG